UACAGAGGAUGCAAGCGUUAUCCGGAAUUAUUGGGCGUAAAGAGCUCGUAGGCGGUUUGUCGCGUCUGCUGUGAAAACCCGAGGCUCAACCUCGGGCCUGCAGUGGGUACGGGCAGACUAGAGUGCGGUAGGGGAGAUUGGAAUUCCUGGUGUAGCGGUGGAAUGCGCAGAUAUCAGGAGGAACACCGAUGGCGAAGGCAGAUCUCUGGGCCGUAACUGACGCUGAGGAGCGAAAGCGUGGGGAGCGAACAGG
rnacentral:rRNA from 1 species